rnacentral:rRNA from 1 species
UACGGGAGGGGUAAGCGUUGUUCGGAAUUACUGGGCGUAAAGGGCUCGUAGGCGGCCAACUAAGUCGGACGUGAAAUCCCUCGGCUUAACCGGGGAACUGCGUCUGAUACUGGAUGGCUUGAGAUUGGGAGAGGGAUGCGGAAUUCCAGGUGUAGCGGUGAAAUGCGUAGAUAUCUGGAGGAACACCGGUGGCGAAGGCGGCAUCCUGGACCAACACUGACGCUGAGGAGCGAAAGCCAGGGGGAAGCAAACGGGG